rnacentral:rRNA from 1 species
GAUCGCAAGGUUAAAACUCAAAGGAAUCGACGGGGACCCGCACAAGCGGUGGAACAUGUGGUUUAAUUCGAUGCUACGCGAAAAACCUUACCAAGUCUUGACAUGUUAGUCGUAUAGCUAAGAAACUAGCUAGUCAGUUCGGCUGGACUAUCACAGGUGUUGCAUGGCUGUCGUCAGCUCGUGUCGUGAGAUGUUGGGUUAAGUCCCGCAACGAGCGCAACCCUUAUCUUUAAUUGCCAACAGGUAAUGCUGGGAACUUUAAAGAAACUGCCAAUGGAGAAUUGGAGGAAGGUGAGGAUGACGUCAAGUCAGCAUGGCCCUUAUGACUUGGGCUACACACGUGUUACAAUGGUAGUUACAAUAUGAUGCAAUAGGGCGACCUGGAGCAAAUCUCAAAAAGCUACCUCAGUUCGGAUUAUACCCUGCAACUCGGGUGCAUAAAGUUGGAAUCGCUAGUAAUCGCAGAUCAGCACGCUGCGGUGAAUACGUUCCCGGGUCUUGUACACACUGCCCGUCAAGCCAUGGAAGUUAAAUUUUCCUUAAGUAAAUAAGCUAACUGUAAAGAAGCAGUUCACCAAGGAGAAUUUGAUGGCUGGGGUU